rnacentral:lncRNA from 1 species
UAAGAUCUUUAGAUUCUGCUCCGAUGAGCUGCUUCUCCAUGCUCAUCCUGACAGACCUGGGUGCUACAAAACCUGGGGUGUUGUCGGUGGUGAUGUGGAAGGGCAGGAUGAUGCUUCCAAGAUAAAGGCUUGCYGGAGUCCCCAUGCCUUCGCCGACUGCGGCGGGGAAGACGUGGCCGUCUCAUAUCCGUUCAGUUCCUCCUGAUUUUCAGUAACGUAACCCAGCCCCCCAGUUUCUUAUGGGGAGAAAGAAAUACACUGCGUAAAUGAUUUCCAGGCUUCUGCUACAGCACUAGAAAUCAUAACUAUCAAAAGGAGAAAAGAUUAAAAUAAUAUUUUUUUAAUGGUCUCUCUCACAGCAUGAUGAUUUCUACUAAAAAGAAAAAUCAAUAAUGACUCUAAAGCAAAGAUAUGUCCAAACAGCCAUUUUGGGGUCCUGUGUGGAAGGAGCUUGACUUCACGCUUCCCGAGCUUCCCCCRCGUUUAAUGGAAAGGUGAAACCAAGAUGCUGAUAUUAAUUAUUUAACCUCUCUUGAAAGGCUUAUAGCGGAGGUUCCCCCAGCCGAAGAAAACACCUUCUCAUACAAUCAAUAGGGAAGAUACCAUCUGCUGAAAAAAUUAAUGCAGAAAUUAGAUAAAUUGGGAGAGGGAGGGUGGAGGGGGCAGCGCAACCUGACACUGGAUAAACCGGUACCAAAAAUUUGCAUUUAAUUCCCUCGGGCAGGGAGGGACGGACAGGCCCGGUGCUGCAACGUCCAGGCAGAACUGUCCCUCGUACCGGCACCACGUUUCUCCGGGAGCAGGACGGGCCCGCGCUGGUAGUUGUGUUGCUGGACGUCGCUGCCCCUCUGAAGGCCAAGAGCUGGCCGUUGGGUGUAUGUCGUGCCGCAAAGUCGUGCCCAGAUACCAUCAGCCCCUACUCGUUACCAAGCUGGCCAUGUUCUCUCCUCGAGGAGCGUCCAGCCUUCGCCGAGCCAGAGCCAGCGAGUUCAGCUUUCUCCACGCACACAUAGGAACGACUGCCCUUAACACGCAUGGAAAAUACGUUCCUGUUUCCAUGACCACAUAGGAUGGAAUCCACCUUGGCCGCCCUGGCACGGCGUCCUGCUCCCUCCGGGGCCUUCUCCCGCGUCCUCCCGCGGAGACUCCCCGGCCGGGCUGGGGCUGCCGGUCCGGGGCUCGGCUAGGUCGGGCGCGGUGGGCAGGGGCGGAGGAGAAAGCCUGGGCGCCCCGGUCGCGAGACGAGCGCGCACGUGGAGGGAGCUGAGACGUCUCGAAUCGGAAGGGAAGUCCCUGAAUCUGCACCCGUUGGGCAGGUGAUUCCCGAGAAGCGUCUGUUGGUGCUUUUAGCAAAGUACCAGAAGAAACUCUGCAAGACGCGGGGGAUGUAGCCCUCGCCGGGGGACGAGCCGUAACGGCGUGAAGCUCCGCUGCCCGCGUGGUGGUCUGCCCGAGGGGCGCCCUGCA